rnacentral:sRNA from 1 species
AUGCGUUAGUGAUUGCAACGGCAUCCUUUUUGCUUUUUCUGCAAAAAGAUAUAGUGGAAAGCACGACCCUUU